rnacentral:rRNA from 1 species
UACGUAGGGGGCAAGCGUUAUCCGGAUUUACUGGGUGUAAAGGGAGCGUAGACGGCAGCGCAAGUCUGGAGUGAAAUGCCGGGGCUCAACCCCGGAACUGCUUUGGAAACUGUGCAGCUAGAGUGCGGGAGAGGUAAGCGGAAUUCCUAGUGUAGCGGUGAAAUGCGUAGAUAUUAGGAGGAACACCAGUGGCGAAGGCGGCCUACUGGACGGUGACUGACGCUGAGGCUCGAAAGCGUGGGGAGCAAACAGG